AGUUCCUUAGGAUUCCAACUGAAAAGCUCCAUUUCUUCCAUUUCUCUCAGAAACCAUCUCUCUAAAAUGAAAAGACCUCUCUGUCUCUCACAUUUUUCUCUCAUUUCCCCAAUUCAUCUCUGCUCUCUUCUUCAUUACUCUCAAAAACGCAAAAACCUUAUGUCUUUUUAGAAAUCAGCCUCAUCCUCUCUCGUAUUUCUCAACCUCAUUUCUCCCUCAGCCGCUCAACCACAUACGCGUGCGGGACCUUCUUUCAUACAGCAACACAACCACACACACUCUCCUCCGCAAGAACGCCAAAACCAACGCCUCUGCCAUGGAAAUGGUAGCACAUUUGAAGUUUAAAUCUGCUCAAAAAGGAUGUGGAUCUGCCGACGAAGCCAAGAAGAAUGACAAACAACAUGCAAGUAGCUCAGAUCCGAGACAGAAAGGGGUGCAAAGGUCGACGAUCUGGAAGCGGAACACUGACAAUGAAAAGGAACACUAGCUACAAUGCAAAUCUGGUGCCUGCAAAGAACACUCAGAGCCGUGACAGAUCUGAGAGAGAAAUCUCAAACUGAAAGUCCACUGGAUCAUGAAAAUCAAAGUGUCAUCAGUCUUUCUGUUGUGAACUGUGCAGGAUGACAGUCUGAUCCUGGAACAAAGGGAGAGAACAGGACAGCUCGGACAUCACAGAUCCACCUCCCAUACGAAGGGAAGGCGGAUCCAUGAUAGAUCCGUGGGAAGUAAAAUGGAUGGACAAACAGCAGCUUCAAUAGACAAAAAUGACACAAGCUUCCAAGAGCCCAGAUCGGUGAAUCUGGGAGGUAAAAUUUCAUAUCCUUGCAAGUUGAAUUGUUGUAUAUCUGGUAAUAAUAGCUGUACUCAGUUAUGUGGUGUAUGGAUCUGUGAUUUAAUUGUGCUUCCUCCAUGCAUCGCAAAACUGAGCUGCAGAAAAUUAACUGCUCUAAAUUAUGUUUCUGUGCUAGAUCUGCAACAAUCUCCCCCAAACUUGCAUCUGUGAAUGACUGUUUAUGUUGACUGCUUUAAAUUUCCAGCAUAGUGUAGAUGUGGUUGAUGUAACGGUAGACUUGCUGUUGGGUGCAGGAUUCCAGCAUAGGAUGCGCUUUAUUUUCCAUGUUUUCAACCUGCAAUUAACCAAUAAAUGCGAAUAUUAAAAACGGAGUUAAAAUCAACAUGCGUAAAUAAAGAAAGCGACAUAUUUUUAGAUUUUUCAUGGUUUUUUGUUUUUUGUUUUUUUUUGUUGAAAACUUAGGUGUAUAUAUAUGCAUCUAGAAAUUUAACUUAUAUAAAAAAAAUCAAACGAACAAAUAAAAUAAGGAAAAAGUUUAGAAAAAUUGGGUUGCCUCCCAACAAGCGCUUUAUUUUAAGUCUGUAGCUAGACGUUGCAGAAGUCCAGUGGCUAGAUCACUGGUGCCUUUAGAGUUGAUGACUUGCCUACACCAAAUUUUGCUAUGCAUGGUUAAGUUGAUGUCUGGUAACCUUAAAUGUGAAACCUGUAUCCUCAGCUUUGAUGUCCACGUUGCCAUUCUGAAAAACUUUAGUAACUAGAAAAGGGCCUUUCCAUCGAGACUCUUGUUUCCGUGGAGAUGAUUUGAAAUAGGAACUUAACAACCACACUUUUUUAUCAAGCUGUAUUUUCUUAAAAUUUGGGCUGCAUGGAAAAUUUUCAUGUUUUUUCAUAGUGUUAAUUGGCUGGUCAUCAUGUAGCACCCUUUGCUGCUGUGGUUUAGGACUUAUGCAAUCACGAGUCAAAUUCGGAGGUUUUAUGGACAGAUGGUCAAUUGAUGAUCUGCUUAUAAACUCGGCCCUUGGUACACCAUCCAAUGCAUCAACAUGCAUGCAUUCUUGCUUGUCACCUGAAUGUAAGCUUGCUUCAAACAACUUGAAAACAAUGGUUUGAUCUUCAACCCGGAAUGUUAAUGUUCCGGCUUCAACGUCAAUAAGAGUCCGGGCUGUUGCCAGAAAUGGGCUGCCCAAAAUGAUGGGUGUUGUCAAAUCCUUAUCCAUGUCCAACACCAUAAAAUCAGCCGGUAAAUAUAAAUUGUCAACCUUCACAAUAACAUCUUCAAUGACUCCUCUAGGGUAGGUAAUUGAACGGUCAGCCAAUUGAAUAAUACUGGAGGUUGGCUUCAGCUCACCUUCACCUAAACGUUUGAAAACAGAAUAAGGCAUUAAGUUUACACUAGCACCUAAAUCAAUUAAAGCACUUUUAAAAUCAGAAUUGCCAAUAGUACAAGAGAUAGUAAAACUCCCUGGAUCUUUUUUCUUUGGAGGCAAUUUAUGCAAUAAGACCGCACUGCAUUGUUCUGUUAGAAUUACUUUUUCAAAAUCAACGAGCUUCUUUUUCUUUGUGCAAAUAUCCUUCAAACAUUUGGCAUAAGAUGGAAUGUUCUUGAUUGCAUCAAUUAACGGUAGAUUAAUUUGAACUUUUGACAAAGUCUUCAUAAAAUCUGAUAACUGUUGAUCUUUAGCUUUAGGUCUCAACCUUUCUGGAUAAGGCAUAGGUGGCUCAUAAACACGUUCUGCAGUUUUUGUGGUAGCUUCUGCAGUAUUUUCGGAUCUGUCUUGGGACUGUCCAGACUCUGCAGAAAUUUCAGAAUCUGCAAAAAUUGCAGAUUUAGUUUGGGGUAGUUCUGCUGCCUGCGAAUUUCCAACAGAAUUUUCAUGUCUGUUGCUGUAACUUUUGCCAGACCGUAGAGUCUGUAUCACAUUGCAUUCUUCUCGUCCUCUUGGAUUAGGUACUGUUUGACUAGGAAAUGUACCCGUAGCUCUUUCUGAAACCUGUAAAGCAAUCUGCCCCAUUUGUUUUUCCAUGUUUUUCACUGCUGCCUGUAGAUUUUGAAUUUCUUGAGUGGUAAUAUUUGCCAAUUUUUCAAUUGCAACCUCCCAAGCAGCCUUAGGUGCAGCAGGUUGCUGUACCUGCCGUUGAAAUUGAGGUCUUGAGUGCUGAUCCUUGUCCCACUUUAAAUUAGGAUGAUCUCUCCAACCUGGGUUGUAGAAAUUUGAAUACGGGUCAUAUCUGGGACGUUGAAAAUUAUUAAAUGAAUUAACCUGCUCCGCUAUAAACUCCGGAUAAGCAUCUUUAUGUGGACAGCUCAAAAAAUCAUGAUUUGUCAAGCUGCAAAUGCUGCAUGCAACUUGUAAAGGUUGUUGUACGGCAACCUGUGAACCCGAAAUUCUUUGUAAUAACAUGUCAAAUUUUGCAUCAAAUCUUUCAAGCUUUUUCUCCAUUUUUUCAAUUUGUGCCGACACGUAUGGUGAACCAUUUGACAUCUCAAAAACGGAUCUAGAUUGUGGCUGCUCAACUGCCCAUUGUUGGGUAUCUGCUGCCAUUUUUUCAAAUAAUAAACAAGCCUCUUGUGCAUUUUUAUCUUUGUACGAACCUCCGCAUGAAGCGUUGACAAGAGUUUUUGUAGUCAUAUUUAACCCUCUGAAAAAUAUAUGCAUUUGAUCAGUAGUGUUAAUACCCGAAUGUGGACAUUUUCUAAUCAACUCUUUAAACCGCUCCCACGCCUCAUGAAACUCUUCAUUUGAUUUUUGGGCAAAUGAUAAAAUCUGAGUUCUCAUGUCAAGAGUCUUCGAAGCUGGAUAAUACUUGUUUAAAAAAAUUUCACUGAGUUGGGCCCAAGUUGUAAUGCUUCCAGAUGGGAGUGUGAGAAGUCAUCUCCUUGCUUGAUCUUUUAGAGUGUAUGGAAACAAACGAAGCUUAAUAGAUUCGGCUGAAAAUCCCCUCACCAAAAUAUUUUUGCAACCCAUAAAAAAUUCUGCAAUAUGCAUAUUAGGAUCAUCAGAUGAUAACCCAUGAAAUGUAGGUAGAAUAUUCAACAUGUGUUGUUUUAUUUCAAAUGAAGACCCUUCCUCCACUGCUGGAUAAGUAAUGCAACUUGGUAUAUUUGUGGUAUGGGCUGUCAGUGAAUCACCCAGAGGCAGACCAACCUCUGGAAUUACAAAUGCCAUUUUUUCUUUGCUGUGCAGGUCCCCAGAAAAGAAUGAUUGCAGAAAAGUCUCCUGCAGAGGACGAACCCUCUGCAAAGUUUACUCCUUGCGUUUCCUCCUCAAAUUCUGCUCAAGUUCUGGAUCAAGUGGAAUCAAUUUCUGCACUGUUGAAAGGGUGUUGACCAUGCACAGAUUUCUGAAAUCUGCACUGCUGUACUGUUGUAAUCUGUAAAAAUAAAAUAAAAACGAAAAUUAAAUUUUUUUUUUGGUUAUAUGUAUAAACAGCAAUAACUAAUUGAAAA